CCGCCCAUAGCUCAGUUGGUAGAGCACCCGCCUCUUAAGCGGAGGGUCGUAGGUUCGAUCCCUACUGGGCGGACGA
rnacentral:tRNA from 4 species